rnacentral:rRNA from 1 species
UACAGAGGUGGCAAGCGUUGUUCGGAAUUACUGGGCGUAAAGGGCGAGUAGGUGGCCAUCUAAGUCAGACGUGAAAUCCCCCGGCUUAACCUGGGAACUGCGUCUGAUACUGGACGGCUUGAGUAUGGGAGAGGGAGGUAGAAUUCCAGGUGUAGCGGUGAAAUGCGUAGAUAUCUGGAGGAAUACCGGUGGCGAAGGCGGCCUCCUGGACCAUUACUGACACUGAUCCGCGAAAGCUAGGGGAGCAAACGGG